CCAAAAAAUGACCAAAAAAAGGGGUGUCCCGUAAAGUAGAAAAGUUCCAUUUUUUUUAUUUAUAUUUUUUCAUUCUACCAUUCUUAACCAUGAAGUUGCAUCCAAUCCACGGACCACGAUUUAAGAUAUAUCACGGACACGGAUUAAUGCCCGGAAUUCAUGAGGCUAGUUUUUCAAGCUAGGAUAGCAAGAUAGAAUCAUCCACGGAACAGAAAACCCCUAUCAAGCAACCUGCUAGGUUAGAGAAAAAUGAUAAUGCUAAUGAACAAGUUUGCUCUUAUCACGAGGAGCAGGCAUUGCUGAAUAAUGAUUCAAAAGAUCAUCCUCGUCAUUUAAUUCCCGAGCUAUGCCGAUCAUUCUAUGACAGCGGCUGGGCUUCCAGAACAGGUGGUGGCAUAAGCAUUAAAUACAAAUGUGAAUGCGAUGAAUAUUUAUUCAACAUAACAACUUUCAUGAAGAUACGCAAUGUUUAAUCAAAUUAUACUCGUACAUUGGAGAGCAAUUAUUGGAAGCUUUUCAUUCUAUUAAGGAAGUGAUUUAUUUAAUUUUUUUCAACCUAAUAUAAAAAG